GCUAGUGAUCUGAUCUGGCUGCGACAUCUGUCACCCCAUUGAUCGCCAGGGUUGAUUCGGCUGAUCUGGCUGGCUAGUUGGGUGUCCCCUUCCUCCCUCACCGCUCCAUGUGCGUCCCUCGAAGCUGCGCACUCAGUCGAAGAGGACGACCUUCCCCGCUAGAGGAUGACCGGUCUUCGGUCAAGGGUACACGAGUAGUUGCGCUCCCCUGCUAGAACCUCCAAACAAGCUCUCAAGGUCCAUUUCCAUUUUAUAAAUAUGGAAACUAUGACACAGAAAUUAAGUAACUCUCUAAGUAUUGAAGAUGAAAUUCUAAUAAAGGUG
rnacentral:snRNA from 1 species